rnacentral:rRNA from 1 species
GGUAAACGCUGGCGGCGUGCCUAAAACAUGCAAGUCGAACGGGUCAUCUCCUUCGGGAGGUGGUCAGUGGCAGACGGCUGAGUAACGCGUGGGUGACGUGCCUAUCGGUGGGGAAUAACCGCCCGAAAGGGUGGCUAAUUCCGCAUGCGUCUGAUGUUUCGGUAGAUCAGAGAAAGUCAGGAGUGAUCCUGGCGCCGAUGGAACGGCCCGCGUUCGAUUAGCUAGUUGGGGGGUAACGGCCUACCAAGGCGACGAUCGAUAGCUGGUCUCAGAGGAUGAUCAGCCAGACUGGGACUGAGACACGGCCCAGACUCCUACGGGAGGCAGCAGUUAGGAAUUUUGGGCAAUGGGCGAAAGCCUGACCCAGCAACGCCGCGUGGGUGACGAA